UCCUCUCUGUCUUUGAGAGUUACGCCGAUUCAAGUGUCGGUUCUAUAAAGUAACUGAAUAGGCUAUAAAGAAGUAUUCAUGUUUGAGUUUUCACUCUCAGACAGUGGAAUAGAUACUAUUCAGGCUUACAUGUACACAAAGCUUGUUCAUUAAUUCUAUCCUAGUAAUUUGAUCUGAAAAUUAAUUUACUCUCUGUGAGUGACUUUAAAACGCGCCUUGCAACACGAACUGCACUGGAGAAUGGGUAUGGAGGAGUGAUAGUUUUGGGUGGUGUUAGCGAAGUAUCUCUGUUAUCGUAGGCGUAGUAUUGUUGUGAGGUGAUAUUUAUUUUUGUCAGAACGAAUACCUACUCUAAGAUUAAAGGAGAUAAUGUUGGAGUAAUUUAGGAAAUUACACAAAUUGUGUCGAAAGAGGUGGUUAUACUACUCUUUUGAGGAAAAUGGCUUCGACUGAAGAGGGAAACACCAUUAUCGAGGAUUCAAACACAUGGAGAGCAUGGGCAAGAGCAUUUCUGAUUUGGGCAGUUGAAGAUCCAUGGACUUUUAUAUUCAACAUAUUUCUGAUCCUUUCUCCACUACUUCUUAUCUCACUAUACUUAUCCUACAGGCUGUCAGAUGACAUUGAAAAUCAGCGGAAGGAUAAAAAGAAAAAAGUAAAGCGUGACUCAAAAGGGAAGAAAAAAAAGAAUAAAGAUGGUUGAUAUCUUACGGACAAACAUAAGUGAGUGAUUGUUCAGUGUAAAUACAUUCAUAAAUGCCAUUUUUUGUAUUGUAAGUUUCUACAGAUUAUUAGAAGACUUAAAUAUUGUAUUGCAGUUUGUUAAUUUAGUUCAUAUUUAUGUCAUUCCAACAGUACUCUCCCCCCAUUUCCUGCUUUACUAAAGCAAAGACAAUGUUCGGUAUUCUUUCCCCCUACUUGUGCCAUUGUAAAAAGUUGGAUUCAUCAGGUUAAUGUUUGAACACCAUUUAGUUUUAAACUACAGAAUGGAAAUGUAAUGUAUGACGGUCAGUAAGAGAAGUCACCACUGAUUACUUAUUAUUAGAAUAACAUGUUACUAGUAACACCCUGUUAUAUUAGUAACAGCUGAGUUAUAUUUUGCAGCUAUGCAAGCUGGUUAACAGAAUAAAACGUUCUCAUUGUCUCUACCAUUCAAAUAACGAAUUUAAGAUGAAACUUGAGCUCAAUAACUUAAGUUCAAUAUCAGGAAAUAUUUCAAUAUCAUUCACUCACUGACAAAAUGUUUAUUUGCACUUGCCAUUGUACCAUAGAAUUCCACGCAACUAGGUUUCUCAUGUAGUAAAAAAAAACCAAUAAAAUGAAUAUAAAUGUUAUGUUUUAGAUUUUGAGAGCAUUUUUGGAAUCUCAGUUUGACAAAAUGAUCUCAAUGUAUGUCUUAAACAAAAGUGGUUUAUUUGAUCCGUCCCAGCUAUUGCCUUCAUGAUGGCAAAUUGGCAACACAUGCUUGACUUUGGCUUUGCAAUUCAGUUAUGUACUCUAAUAUAUAUAUUGAAUACCUGAAAUUGUAAAUAUUUUCAUUCAACAUGUAAGUUUUUAAAUAUUGAAUGGUAGUAAUAUAUCACUGUUCUCUUGAAAAAUCUCGUUUUUACAUAUUAAAUUCAGUAAUGCUAUAAACUAAAAGGAAUUUCUUUUAUUUAAACUGCGUAAACUAAUUUCUAUGAAAAUUUAAAUUGGAGAUUCCGUAAAAAAAUGUACAGAAGGAAACAAAACUGUUUAGAUCUAGCGUACUGAAGCAAAAUAAUCUAGUUUUUGAGGUACAUGGCUAAGAAUUUCUAUAAACCUAGCAGUUCUGCGCCCUCAAAAUUAAAAAUACCCUCAUUUUAUUCAAAAAUAUAUUUUGAAUUAAACACAAUUUGGUUGUAUCAAAUCAUAGGAAUUUGUUUUCUGAAUCAGAAUGUUUUCUUCAGAUAUUUUUCUUUUCAUUGGUUUUUAAAUAUGUAAAGUAUGUUCAUAUUCCCCUAAUCAUAAAAAAUAUCCAUGCUUAGGCACAACGUCAUGCAAGCAAAUAUAAAGUUAAUGCCAACCACUUCUCACCUCUUAUUGUAGUCCUUGUAUUCAUUUCAAUGAUCUACUAUCACAUAGUUUCAUUUUCAACAUUUAACAAAGUUGUAGAUUAAAAUCCUCAUGAAAGCUAAUUUUUCAAUUAAAUUUUUGAAGAAUGAAGUCCUUUUAAAAAAAUAAAAAAUGUCAUAAGAUGAAUGCAUCGACAUGUUAUAAUAAAAAACUUGGAGACUAGAGAAUGUUUUGACAAUAAAUUAAGAAUAUAAUCUAAUCCAGUAUAAUCGUAACUUAGCUUGUCAGCUAAAGUUAAGUAUGUCAAUUUACAAUAGUUUAAGACAUAUACAUUGAAAGUCCAAAGAUUUAUUUGGAGGGGGAGAGAGCGAGCAGGUUAUAUUGGAAUAGAACUACAGUUUCUAUAAAUGUUUAAGCUUUUUUUAUAGUUAAAGAUCUGUUUGCAAUUACAAUGCAAGUGUUAAUAUGUUUGUACUGAUAUUUUAUUGUUUAUUUACGUCAUUGUGUAGUUAAUUAAGUCUAUAAUCCAAUUAUUUCUACACCUUAAGCUCUUAAUAGUCACUGAUUCAAAAAGUUGUUAUAUAGUGCAGAAUAAGUGCUAUAGACAUACUCACGCACAACCUGUGACAUUUUUUUAAAUUUUCGUGUAGUUUAUUACGUUACUACUAGAUUUGUUUUGUCAUAUUGUUACAACAGUUUAAUUUGUUUAAUUUUAGUAAGAUAAUAAGCAUAAUUCUUUAUUUUAAGAAAACUAUGUACAUUGUAUUGCAAACAUCAUGGAAACACACAGAUAUGUUUGAUAUAAAAAUAAGCAAUCUCUACCACAUUCAAACAUAGAUAAUAUAACAUUCACUCGUUCAUUCACUAUUAUCAGACUUGAAAUUUAUGUGAACAUCUGUCAGGAACUCAUCAACAGAAUAAACACACAUGCACCAAGAGGCGUUUUAGAUAAGUUUGAAAUUUCCUGAAAUGUUUAUUAUUUAUUCGCACUUAAGCAUAUCCAUUAUUUAAUGGAACACCAAUUUGUUUUAGAAGUUGUUCUUUGUUGAUGUAGUCAAUAGUUUCUUCUACCUAUGGGUAAAGUCAAUAACCCAAGCUUCAUAAAUAAUCUACAUAACUACACAAAAGAAGUGAAAUAAUAUUUAAUAAACAUUGAAGUAUCUAUGGUGCUUGUUUAAUGGCAACAAACCAGUGACGAACACAAUUAAGUAUUUUUUGUUAUUGAAAACUUCAAUUAUUAUACCGUUAAGAGGCGUUUAAGUAAUUUUUCUACAGUACUGAUUAUGUAUGAAUUUGUAUGUAAGUAAUGCUACAUUUAUUAUUUUUAUAAAAUGAAAUAGUUUAAGAUUAUUAUUGUGUAGCUUAAGAAGAAGGGACUGCAGAACUAGGAAGACAAAAGUUUCAUAACUAGUUUACACACAUACACACUCAGAAAAUGGCCAGAAAAUAAAGCACGUUUGACUAAUGUCAAUUGAUAGUUACACCUAAAAAUAUUAAUGUAUUAAUACAUGGAGUGACAGUUUAAUUAAUUAUCCACCAAAAUUAAAGUACAUGGUUUUUUGGGCAAUUAUUCAAUUGUGUUGUGUCUAGCACAUAGAGGGGCUUACUUAGGUCACAUGGAUUGUGUGUUAGGUACACAGCAGUCCACAAAAUACUGAUCAUGUGUGAACAAUAUUACUGCACAUUAAGACUUCUAAGAUACAGAAAUACUUAAAGAACUAAAUUCACCCUUUUCAUCUGAUUUCUUACUGUUUACUGUGUUAUUACUGUGUAAUGGCCAUAUGACUGUUUUAAUUUUUUGCACAUAAAUAAUGUAACAACAGAGCCUGUGCUAAUAUAUGAUUACUAGUUUUGUUGAUACACACCAAUACAUUUGUUUUAAUUGUUUAUUUAUGUUCUACCACCAAACAACUUGGUUUCAUUUUAGAUAUGUUACAAUUUCAUCAUGUGCUGCAGAUGUAAAGUCACAAUGAGUAUAGUACUAUAAAGGCACUAAUAUAAUACUUGUUAAUGUUUGAACAUUGAUAGAAAUCUUGGCUGCUAUAUGCUUAGCACUGAUUCCAAAAACACUAAAAUGUAAGUUGUACUAGCAUAUUAGUUUUAUGUAAAGCCUAAUGCAUCAAGUUGAGAGCACUUUCUCAAUUAAUUAGGAUAGACAACUAAUAUCUACAACAAAAUUAGUAUUUGUUUCUUCAAAUCAACCGAAAAAUAUGUCAAAAUGGUUUUUUGGAUUUUUUAAAGUAUACUUUCUUUAAAUGUUCUUUCAUUUUGACAGUAAUAACAAUAUUUGUUCUGUGUGUCUGAUAUUAAAUGUGAAAGUCUAUGUAAUUUUUAUUCAACAUGAUUUAUAGCUUUUUCUUAGAAGAUUCAUUGAUUGUAUUUUCACUGUUAAAUUGUUUGGCUUGCAUAUAGAGUCAUCGCUGGAUAACACACUUAUCACAUGGCAGAGGUUUUGAAUGUUCUUUUUUUUAACUUCCAAUAAAAUUACAUAACUUUCCAGAACAAGGCAAGAGGAGAACUUGUAUUCAAUGUAGUACAUAUGUACAAAUUAAAUGAACGUGCUUUACUUUCUAGAUGGCACUUGUAUUUAUACCCAAAUAUAAAUUUGUAGAUAUAAAGCCAUUUUACAAAAAUUUGAUGUAUUAAGUCUGUAUGUUUUAAUUUUGUGAUAGGUUGAUAUUGUGAAAAUAUAUAAGUACAACUUUUA